rnacentral:pre_miRNA from 1 species
AGUGGAAGAGCUGGGUCAUAUGGUAAGUAUGUGUUUAAUUUUUAAAAGAAACUGCCAAACUAUUUUCCAAAGUGGCUAUAUUAUUUUGCAUAUCUAUCAGCUCU